UACGUAGGGGGGCUAGCGUUGUCCGGAAUCAUUGGGCGUAAAGAGCGUGUAGGCGGCCCGGUAAGUCCGCUGUAAAAGUCAAAGGCUCAACCUUUUGAAUGUCAGUGGAUACUGCCGGGCUAGAGUCCGGAAGAGGCGAGUGGAAUUCCCGGUGUAGCGGUGAAAUGCGCAGAUAUCGGGGAGGAACACCUAUGGCGAAGGCAGCUCGCUGGGACGUUACUGACGCUGAGACGCGAAAGCGUGGAGAGCAAACAGG
rnacentral:rRNA from 1 species